rnacentral:rRNA from 1 species
AUUGAACGCUGGCGGCAUGCCUUACACAUGCAAGUCGAACGGUAACGCGGGGCAACCUGGCGACGAGUGGCGAACGGGUGAGUAAUGCAUCGGAACGUGCCCAGUAGUGGGGGAUAGCCCGGCGAAAGCCGGAUUAAUACCGCAUACGACCUACGUGUGAAAGCGGGGGACCGUAAGGCCUCGCGCUAUUGGAGCGGCCGAUGUCAGAUUAGGUUGUUGGUGGGGUAAAGGCCUACCAAGCCGACGAUCUGUAGCUGGUCUGAGAGGACGACCAGCCAAACUGGGACUGAGACACGGCCCAGACUCCUACGGGAGGCAGCAGUGGGGAAUUUUGGACAAUGGGGGCAACCCUGAUCCAGCCAUGCCGCGUGCGGGAAGAAGGCCUUCGGGUUGUAAACCGCUUUUGUCAGGGAAGAAACGCUCUGGGUUAAUACCUCGGGGUAAUGACGGUACCUGAAGAAUAAGCACCGGCUAACUACGUGCCAGCCGCCGCCGUAACAC